rnacentral:lncRNA from 1 species
UCUGCUCCUGGAGCCUUUGAAUAAAAAUGCACGUAGCUGAGGCCGGAUGCGGUGGCUCACGCCUGUAAUCCCAGCACUUUGGGAGAAUCAUGUGAACCCGGGACGCAGGGGUUGCAGUGAGCGGAGAUCGCAUCAUUGCACUCUAGCCUGGGCCACAGGGCGAGACUCCGUCUCAAAAAAAAAAAAAUGCACAUAGCUAUCAAGUGUGCUUUAGCUUGAAAAGGUGACCUUGCAACUUCAUGUCAACUUCUGGCUCCUCAAACAGUAGGUUGGCAGUAAGGCAGGGUCCCAUUUCUCACUGAGAAGAUUGUGAAUAUUUCCAUAUGGAUUUUCUAUUGUUACUCUGGUUCUUUGUUUUAAAAUAAAAAUUCUGAAUGUACACG